rnacentral:lncRNA from 1 species
CGUAUAGUGGUAUCCUUCCCCCCAGAGUCACCUCUCCGUUGGUGUCGAUAAACGUUGAGUUUUUCCUAUUCGUUCGUUGGCGUUUAGUUGUAUCUUCCCCACAGGUCAUCCGUUGAUGUCUGUUCACCUCUCCGUUGGUGUCGAUAAACGUUGAGUUUUUCCUAUUCGUCCGUUGACGUAUAGUUGUUCUCCAGUCAGAGUCACCCCUCCGUUGGUGUCGGUAAACAUUGAGUUUUUC